UUACAUGUUUUCUUUUAGCUGCAUACAUACGCCUUGUUUUUUCCAAUUAACUAAGAUUUUUCUUAUUUAGAUUAGCAAUAUUUUUGCAAAUCUGUUGUAUUCCUCCCUAUUGUCGAAUUCAUUUGUUUAUUUUGUUUCUCUUAGAUGAUUAACAUGAGUAAUUGACUGUUACUUAAAAAUAUAUUGAAACUUUUUUACGUAUAUUUUUAAUCAUUUGGUUAAAUAAUAUGGACUAUGUAAAAUUAAGAGUGAUGUAUUUCUUACAUUGAUGUAUUUUCAAGGAAUAUAAGUUUGAAGAUAUGUUAGAGGAAGUCCAGAAAAUUGAGCAAGUUGAAGAAGAAUAUGCAGACUCGCCUUUCAGAAUUGAUUAGAGGGACAGUUAACUACAAUUUAUUUCAUGACUAUUUUUGAAAUCUUUACUACUUUAAGGUAAUUAAUUAAAAGAAAGUUGGUGCAUGAUUUUUAGUCGAUUAAGAAGUUUUUGUAUUA